rnacentral:rRNA from 1 species
GUUGUAUAGUCAAGUAAUUAAGUGCAUGUGGUGGAUGCCUUGGCAGUCAGAGGCGAAGAAAGACGUGAUAGCCUGCGAAAAGCUCCGGGGAGGCGGCAAAUAUCCUGUGAUCCGGAGAUGUCUGAAUGGGGAAACCCACUUACCAUAAGGUAGGUAUUGCAACAUGAAUACAUAGUGUUGCAAG